UCAGUUCAUUCCUCCUGAUGACUGACCUAAAGUACACCUCGGUUUGAGUCCAAUCUUUGAACUUUUACAAACGGCCAACAAUUCACGACUGCAACAUAGUGCCCCCACUGUGUCUUUCUUGUUGUACCUUUUAGAUCUUAUACGAAGGAAACAAUUUUUAGUGCAGCCCUAACUGUUGUACAGUAUUUUAUCAGACAUUCUUUUAUAAUCCUUCAUAAUGCCUUGAAAUCUUUUUUCACAUUUUUCUCUAAUAACUGAUUACCUGUUUUGGCAGUUUUUGCACUGAGUAUCCUACAGCACAAAACAUUCUUUUAUACAUUUUAUAUGAAAUGUAACUAUUAAAAUCCAAAUACUGAUUUCUUUCUUUUACUAUAACAGUAGAUACACAAAUCACAUUGCUAUCACAAUUGUACACACUGAUUCACUGACAGCCUCUUUUUGUGCAAUAGCAAAUGUAAUUCCGUGUAUGAAAACGAUUGUCGCAAUUCUGAGAAAACCAAUGCUUGUCUUAAAGGUUAGGAGCAGGAGGAGAAACAGGGACCUUUUCCAGAAGCAGUCCAUGCUUGUCACAUGAUAGUUAAGACAAACCAAAUAUACCAGUUAGCAUUUGUCAUUGAUAUAUCUAGACUCAACAUUUAAAAAACUAAGUUCUAUUUUAUUUGUGUCGCAACCCGGGAUAAGGGUGUGAAACAGGCGCAUAGUUUUACAACUGCCAACCAACCAAAAAAGAACCGACAGCCCACAGAUGGAAACGAGGGGUGCAGCCAUUCGCAUGAUGAAAAAAUUGUGAAUCAUUAGACGCAGUUUCGCAGAAACCAUCAACAUAAGCUUUGGGAUUUUGAAGGGCCCCGAUCGGGGGGACGGGUGAAAGUAAGGGCUACAGGCUAUCCCGCUCCUAAAUGACCGAAAGCCCAUAGGGCGUAGCAGUUACGCGCUGACAGUGACCCGUAUGUCGGACAUUUCACUCCGCCCUCUGACCUCGCGCCCGCAUUUGCUGACCGGCUGUCAGACUCCACAAUCGCCGCCCGAUGGGCUUAAUUCUACCUGCAACAACCGCUUUGGUCAUCGCACUCUCGGUGAGUUUGUGAAUUAAGUGUAAAGUGUACCCUAAAAUUCUGUAAAAUAUUAUAACAUGAAUUAUUCAUACCAGUUGAAACUGUCUGUACAGUAUCGGAUUUCUGGUAUUAGUUUAAUUUAAUUUGUAUAGUUCUGCCCGAAUCGUCGAUUUGUUGCGUGCUACUUCCGCUUUGUGCCAUGUGCUCGCUGUAGUAAGAUGCCGCAUGGCUAACACAAGGUAUUUUAUGUAUAAAUUCUCGAAGCAAAAUAUUAGUGUUUCAAACAAUCCUUAUAAUUAAUUGACCCUAUAAUAGUUCUUAGCAAUUUACCUUCUAUUGAAAUUUGAACACUCGAUUGUGUAUUGAAAGAUUAUUGUAAUAGUUUUUUUGUUUGGUUGGUUUUUUUGUUUUUUUUUUAUGCAGACUUUGCUUAUUUCACUUUCUAGGAAAUGCUGAAGAUCGGGGAUCGUGCUUAGUCAAAGUAUUGUAAUAAUGGCGACUACAAAACAGUCAACAGACGACUCCACAGCGUGGCUGAAGAUGAGCCAAGCUGAAUGUAUAGUGAUAUUCAAGAUCCUGUAAGGGUUGUAAGAAAAUCAACUGACAUGGUAUAUGACGAGACUGGUUAUUCCCAAUCUGGAAUGAGUGGAAUUAUAAAAGCAGAACUAAAAUAUUUCAUCAUUCUGCAUAUCAAACAGGAUUAUUGCUGUUCCAAUCAUCAGAACGGGGACAAAGGCGUCUUUGGAUAACAACUCUCCAGGCGGUUAAUGGGUUCAAGGAGAUUUACUCUGAACGCAGAAUUUCGAUUGCCACAUUCUACUAUCACAUGACAAAGGGCGGUGUCAACAACUACUGCUUCCAUCACAUCGAAUCGGCGCUGCACAGAGCCAUAAAAGCAGGCCAAAUAAAACGGCCCCCCUUUAGCAAGCUUGCUACCUUCAUUUUGCUGACCGUCAACGACGACCAUGUCAGCAGCUCCAGGCAGAUCAUCAGGCAGCUCUUCAAGCAGAUCAUCAGGCAGCUCUUCAAGCAGAUCAUCAGGACGGGGACAGAGGCGUCUUUGGAUAACAACUCUCCAGGUGGUUAAUGCGUUCAAGGAGAUUUACUCUGAACGAUGAAUUUCGAUUGCCACAUUCUACUAUCACAUGACAAAGGGCGGUGUCAACAACUACUGCUUGUCAAACCCAGGCAGCUCUUCAGGACGGGAAGAGAGGAAUAAUCAACGUCUGAAUCUCAUUCAUGUAAUGAACGCCAUGGAAAAGCUUCACAACGAAGUCGCGUUCUCUGUCAACGCCAUUCAUCAUCUCUUGCGCCUAGAGGUAGGCACCUACAGCAUCCACCAGAUCAGUUCGGCGCUACAACGAGGCAUUGAUAAGGGGCGGAUAAGAGAAACACCGGACGGCCGCGUCAGUGAUCUGUAUCACAACAUCAGACAACAUUCUUCUUCAAAUGAGACAGAAUGCAGUCCAACAGAAACACCAGUUAAUUCAGUUUAAAACUUUCACGAUUUAAUCCUUUAACGAGAGAGACCCACGAUUUUAAUUCGGAUUAAAACUUUCACGAUUUAAUCCUUUAACGAGAGAGACCCACGAUUUUAAUUCGGAUUAAAACUUUCACGAUUUAAUCCUUUAACGAGAGAGACCCACGAUUUUAAUUCGGAUUAAAACUUUCACGAUUUAAUCCUUUAACGAGAGAGACCCACAAUUUUAAUUCGGAUUAAAACUUUCACGAUUUAAUCCUUUAACGAGAGAGACCCACGAUUUUAAUUCGGAUUAAAACUUUCACGAUUUAAUCCUUUAACGAGAGAGACCCACGAUUUUAAUUCGGAUUAAAACUUUUACGAUUUAAUCCUUUAACGAGAGAGACCCACGAUUUUAGUUCGGAUUAAAACUUUCACGAUUUAAUCCUUUAACGAGAGAGACCCACGAUUUUAAUUCGGAUUAAAACUUUCACGAUUUAAUCCUUUAACGAGAGAGACCCACGAUUUUAAUUCGGAUUAAAACUUUCACGAUUUAAUCCUUUAACGAGAGAGACCCACGAUUUUAAUUCGGAUUAAAACUUUUACGAUUUAAUCCUUUAACGAGAGAGACCCACGAUUUUAAUUCGGAUUAAAACUUUCACGAUUUAAUCCUUUAACGAGAGAGACCCACGAUUUUAAUUCGGAUUAAAACUUUUACGAUUUAAUCCUUUAACGAGAGAGACCCACGAUUUUAAUUCGGAUUAAAACUUUCACGAUUUAAUCCUUUAACGAGAGAGACCCACGAUUUUAAUUCGGAUUAAAACUUUUACGAUUUAAUCCUUUAACGAGAGAGACCCACGAUUUUAGUUCGGAUUAAAACUUUCACGAUUUAAUCCUUUAACGAGAGAGACCCACGAUUUUAAUUCGGAUUAAAACUUUCACGAUUUAAUCCUUUAACGAGAGAGACACACG